rnacentral:rRNA from 1 species
GAUGAACGCUGGCGGCGUGCCUAAUACAUGCAAGUCGAGCGAACAGACGAGGAGCUUGCUCCUCUGACGUUAGCGGCGGACGGGUGAGUAACACGUGGAUAACCUACCUUUAAGACUGGGAUAACUUCGGGAAACCGGAGCUAAUACCGGAUAAUAUAUUGAACCGCAUGGUUCAAUAUUGAAAGACGGUUUUGCUGUCACUUAUAGAUGGAUUCGCGCCGCAUUAGCUAGUUGGUAAGGUAACGGCUUACCAAGGCAACGAUGCGUAGCCGACCUGAGAGGGUGAUCGGCCACACUGGAACUGAGACACGGUCCAGACUCCUACGGGAGGCAGCAGUAGGGAAUCUUCCGCAAUGGGCGAAAGCCUGACGGAGCAACGCCGCGUGAGUGAUGAAGGUCUUCGGAUCGUAAAACUCUGUUAUUAGGGAAGAACAAAUGUGUAAGUAACUAUGCACGUCUUGACGGUACCUAAUCAGAAAGCCACGGCUAACUACGUG